UACGGGGGGAGCAAGCGUUGUUCGGAUUUACUGGGCGUAAAGGGCGCGUAGGCGGUCAGCACAAGUCAGUUGUGAAAUCUCCGGGCUUAACUCGGAAAGGUCAACUGAUACUGUGCGACUAGAGUGCAGAAGGGGCAACUGGAAUUCCAAGUGUAGCGGUGAAAUGCGUAGAGAUUUGGAGGAACACCAGUGGCGAAGGCGACUUCUGGUCUGUAACUGACACUGAGGCGCGAAAGCGUGGGGAGCGAACAGG
rnacentral:rRNA from 1 species